rnacentral:rRNA from 1 species
GACGAACGCUGGCGGCGUGCUUAACACAUGCAAGUCGAACGGAAAGGCCCCAGCUUGCUGGGGUACUCGAGUGGCGAACGGGUGAGUAACACGUGGUGAUCUGCCCUGCACUCUGGGAUAAGCCUGGGAAACUGGGUCUAAUAACGGAUAGGACCGUGCUUUAGUGUGUGCGGUGGGAAGUUUUUCGGUGCAGGAUGAGCCCGCGGCCUAUCAGCUUGUUGGUGGGGUAAUGGCCUACCAAGGCGGCGACGGGUAGCCGGCCUGAGAGGGUGUACGGCCACAUUGGGACUGAGACACGGCCCAGACUCCUACGGGAGGCAGCAGUGGGGAAUAUUGCACAAUGGGCGCAAGCCUGAUGCAGCGACGCCGCGUGGGGGAUGACGGCCUUCGGGUUGUAAACCCCUUUCGGCAGGGACGAAGCUUUUGUGACGGUACCUGCAUAAGAAGCACCGGCUAACUACGUG